UACGUAGGGUGCAAGCGUUAAUCGGAAUUACUGGGCGUAAAGCGUGCGCAGGCGGUUUUGUAAGUCUGUCGUGAAAUCCCCGGGCUCAACCUGGGAAUUGCGAUGGAGACUGCAAGGCUAGAAUCUGGCAGAGGGGGGUAGAACUCCACGUGUAGCAGUGAAAUGCGUAGAGAUGUGGAGGAACACCGAUGGCGAAGGCAGCCCCCUGGGUCAAGAUUGACGCUCAUGCACGAAAGCGUGGGGAGCAAACAGG
rnacentral:rRNA from 1 species